GAUGAACGCUGGCGGCGUGCUUAACACAUGCAAGUCGAACGAUGAAGCCCAGCUUGCUGGGUGGAUUAGUGGCGAACGGGUGAGUAACACGUGAGUAACCUGCCCUUAACUCUGGGAUAAGCCUGGGAAACUGGGUCUAAUACCGGAUAGGAGCGUCCACCGCAUGGUGGGUGUUGGAAAGAUUUAUCGGUUUUGGAUGGACUCGCGGCCUAUCAGCUUGUUGGUGAGGUAAUGGCUCACCAAGGCGACGACGGGUAGCCGGCCUGAGAGGGUGACCGGCCACACUGGGACGGAGACACGACACAGACUCCUACGGGAGGCAGCAGUGGGGAAUAUUGCACAAUGGGCUCAAGCCUGAUGCAGCGACGCCGCGUGAGGGAUGACGGCCUUCGGUUUGUAAUCCUCUUUCAGUAGGGAAGAAGCGAAAGUGACGGUACCUGCAGAAGAAGCACCGGCUAACUACGUG
rnacentral:rRNA from 1 species